rnacentral:rRNA from 1 species
AAAUCGUACCCCAAACCGACACAGGUGGUCAGGUAGAGAAUACCAAGGCGCUUGAGAGAACUCGGGUGAAGGAACUAGGCAAAAUGGUGCCGUAACUUCGGGAGAAGGCACGCUGAUAUGUAGGUGAAGUGGUUUACUCAUGGAGCUGAAAUCAGUCGAAGAUACCAGCUGGCUGCAACUGUUUAUUAAAAACACAGCACUGUGCAAACACGAAAGUGGACGUAUACGGUGUGACGCCUGCCCGGUGCCGGAAGGUUAAUUGAUGGGGUUAUCCGUAAGGAGAAGCUCUUGAUCGAAGCCCCGGUAAACGGCGGCCGUAACUAUAACGGUCCUAAGGUAGCGAAAUUCCUUGUCGGGUAAGUUCCGACCUGCACGAAUGGCGUAAUGAUGGCCAGGCUGUCUCCACCCGAGACUCAGUGAAAUUGAACUCGCUGUGAAGAUGCAGUGUACCCGCGGCAAGACGGAAAGACCCCGUGAACCUUUACUAUAGCUUGACACUGAACAUUGGUCCUUGAUGUGUAGGAUAGGUGGGAGGCUUUGAAGCGUGGACGCCAGUCUGCGUGGAGCCAACCUUGAAAUACCACCCUUUAAUGGCUGGUGUUCUAACGUAGACCCGUAAUCCGGGUUGCGGACAGUGUCUGGUGGGUAGUUUGACUGGGGCGGUCUCCUCCUAAAGAGUAACGGAGGAGCACGAAGGUUAGCUAAUCCUGGUCGGACAUCAGGAGGUUAGUGCAAAGGCAUAAGCUAGCUUGACUGCGAGAGUGACGGCUCGAGCAGGUGCGAAAGCAGGUCUUAGUGAUCCGGUGGUUCUGAAUGGAAGGGCCAUCGCUCAACGGAUAAAAGGUACUCCGGGGAUAACAGGCUGAUACCGCCCAAGAGUUCAUAUCGACGGCGGUGUUUGGCACCUCGAUGUCGGCUCAUCACAUCCUGGGGCUGAAGUAGGUCCCAAGGGUAUGGCUGUUCGCCAUUUAAAGUGGUACGCGAGCUGGGUUUAGAACGUCGUGAGACAGUUCGGUCCCUAUCUGCCGUGGGCGCUGGAGAAUUGAGGGGGGCUGCUCCUAGUACGAGAGGACCGGAGUGGACGCAUCACUGGUGUUCGGGUUGUCAUGCCAAUGGCAUUGCCCGGUAGCUAAAUGCGGAAGAGAUAAGUGCUGAAAGCAUCUAAGCACGAAACUUGCCCCGAGAUGAGUUCUCCCUGAGACUUUAAGUCUCCUGAAGGAACGUUAAAGACUAUGACGUUGAUAGGUCGGGUGUGUAAGUGUAGCGAUACAUUGAGCUAACCGAUACUAAUGAACCGUGAGGCUUAACCUU